AAAACAGGGUGAACCCCAAACAUAAGUGCGGAAAUAAAUCCCAACAUCAGGGUGUCACUAGUCAUAAGCAUCUAACACAAUUGAGACAAAAAUAACAAGACUAACGUAGUUUGGAAUUCGAAAUACAAGAAUAAGGAAAAAUACAGAAGAAGAAAUCGAGGGUGCAAACGCCGGCAGCUACCUGGAAAUCUUCAAUGACCAGCUACUGGUACUAUUAACAAUCAACGCGUCCAACAACUCUUGGAUCUGCACACAAGGUGCGGGGAAUAACGUGCAUAUGACAAUUCAGUAAGUAACAAUAAUAAAUAAGGAACUGAAGAUAGUGACAAGUUACACAAUUUAGUUCAUUUCAAUGAUCUUAGAAAGGAAUGAUAGUCAUGUUCUCAAGUUCUAAUAUUUCAAGUCAAAUCAGUUUAUUUCAGGCAAGUUGAAGUUAAAAUCAGAUAAGAAUAUCUUUCAACAAUUUUCAAAACAUUAGCAUAAAGCAAUUGUGUACAUAAAUAAUGUAAUCACUGCCUCUUAGGAAAUCAUCUUUCAGUCCUCCCAAUACCUCCAACCUCACAAUUACACGUUUCUCCUAGUCACUCAUACCUGACAAUAACUCGGCACUCAGCAUUCGACAUUCGGUACUCGGCACUCGGUAGGUACCUGCGUUCACGAAGGGUGUCCAGACUCUGGAGGGACUGCUUCAGCAUAAGCGCUAUAAUAAGCCAAUCAUGUCAUAAAUCAAUCAGGCCCUCGGCCUCACUAGGUCAUGAAUUAAUAAAACCUGUUACGGCGUAUAGCCCGACCCCAUAAAUAUUCUUACAAUCAAGCCCUUUGCCUCACUUAGUCAUCAAUCUCUCCAACCUCUCUGGCUCUCAAAAAAUCAGGAAAAUCAUCCCAAACAGCAAUAACAUGAAGUAUUAGAUAGAAUACAGAGACUGAGAUAUGAUAUACGAGUAAAAGUUUUGAUUGAGCACAAAUAGCAUUUAACAAACAAUUCAACAUGUAACACGGCACUGAACAGUGUCAACAUAUAGCUUAUGCAUGGUUUGUAACAUGAUUUGCAGUUUAUCUUUAAUAACACAAAAAGAGCAUAGAGCUAACAGCAUGUUGUUCAAGUUUCAGUUUUUAGGGGACAGAUCAAGUCACAAUCCCCUCAGUGCAGGCCCACACGCGCGUCACCUAGCAUGUGUAUAACCUCCAAAAUAGUCACAAGACAUAAUGUUCGGGGUUUCAUACCGUUAAGACCAAAAUUAUAACUCUUACUUACCUCAAUGCGAGCAAAAUCCCACCCCGCAACGCCUUUUCCUCUUGGAGUCAGCCUCUAAACGUCCCUAAUCUAGCCAAAAAUAAUACAACACAAUCAAUACAUGCCAAAGGAAUCAAUUCCAUAAGAAAACUACUAAAUUAGGCACAAAUCUUGAAAUUGGCUCAAACCCAGGCCCCGAUCCCACGUCUCAAAAUCUCACAAAAGUCACAAAACUAGAAAACUCAUUCACUCAUGAGUCUACACAUGCCAAUUUCACCAAAAUCCAAUCUUAUUGGUCUUCCAAAUUGUCAAAUUACACUCUACAAAACUUCAAGCCCUAACCCCAAAUUUUCACUUCAAAACUCCACGAAUAGGUGAGAAAUCAAUGGAAAAAAUACCAUAGCUAAUGAUAAUAUAGCUCAAGCAACUUACCUCAGUGAAUAUCCUUGAAUCAAUCUCGCUUUUGCGGGCUCGCAGAUGCGACCGCUCUUAUGAAUAUGUGGUGUUCCAGUCCAAGUCCUAAACAUCCGCAUAUGCGGCUCCCCAAGUGCAACUGCGGUUGCCAAUCAGUAUGUGCGCAAACCGUAGCAGCAAUAGCUUCAACUUCAAUUUCCAAUUCCAAACUCCCUGUUAACCAUCCGGAAUCACCCUAAGCCCCUCUUGACCUCAACCAAACAUACCAACUAGUCAUAUAUCAACAUGCGAACUUACUCGAGCCUUCGAAUAACCCAAAACAAUGUCAAAACACCAAAUUACCCUCGGCUUCAAGCCUAAGAACUUCUAAACUUCGAAAUUUCGCGAACGGCGUUGAAACCUAUCAAAUCACGUUCGAAUGACCUUAAAUUUUACACACACCUCACAAAUGACACCACGAAUCUAAUGCAACUUUCGAAAAUCCAUUCCGACCCCGAUAUUAAUUUAUCCAAUGCAGAUAAAAAUCGCCAAAUUUCCAACUUUCACCAAUUAAAACCUUAUUCUACAUGGACCUUCAUAUCACAUUCCGAAUGUGCACCCAAUUCCAAAAUCACCUAAGAGUGCUAACGGAACGUCAAAAUUCAAAUCCGAGAUUAUUUAGACACAAGCCAACAUCCUGUUAACUUUUCUAACUCAAACCUUCUCAUAAGAGAUUAAAUGUCUCAAAUUCACUCCGAAACAACUCCAGACCCGAACCAACUCGCUUGACAUAUCAUAAUAUAGCUGAAGAAUACAAAAAGAAGUAGAAAUAGGAAAUGGGGAUGCAACUCUCAAAACGACUGACCAAAUCGUUACACUUACUCAACCAAGUACCAGCGUUACAUAUCUUUCUUAUCCUACUGUCAUUGACAAAUGGGCCAAAUGGAUCGUCAUAGGCUAACCAGAAUAAACAUAAGGGAAUACUUAGUAUAGGACGAUCCAAUUUGAUACAUGUGACAUACGGGCCUAUAAGGCCAAAAUGAUCACUCACACACUGAACAUAGGCCGUCGAGGUCAUACAAUCUUUCAUAUGCACAACAUAAGUCUAUAAGUCUCUAAGAGUGCAGUUAUCAUAAAGGUUGGGAUAGACCGCCGCCAAACCAAUCAAUGAAUGUACUAAUCAUACAGACCAAAUAAGCAACUCUGGAACUAACCGAGCGCACCAACUCCUUCCGUUGAACUAAUAUCCUACUUAGAGGACUCUUAACCUGUCUAUCGGGACCUGCGGGCAUAAAAUGCAGUGUCCCCUGGCAAAAGAGACAUCAGUACAAAUAAUACACAGAGUAUAUAAGGAAUGAAAAUUAGCAAAUAAUAGACAUGAAAGACACAUGGAGUAAAAAACUCGACAUGUAAGUCUGAAUAGCUCUGUGAACCAUUUAAUAUUUAAAAUACAAUGCAUAUGCGUACAAAUGUCAUACCAUGCAUAGGUAUAUGUGUACAUAAGACCAUCAAGACUCGGAGGUCCUCCCAUUAUAUCAUCUCGACCACUAUGGAUAAAUCAUCAACGUAUACCAGCUGGUCAGAUAAUGGUGCGUAUAUAACGCAGUAACCUUUUUUCAUAUCUCAUAUACAUAGAUACACAUACAUAAAUACAUGUAUGUAACGCAUCAGGUCACGGAUCAAUGUAUAUGUAAAUGACUGCAAUGCAUGACAAGUACAUUAAUAAAAUCUUUCAAAAUGUCAUAAGACCAUUAUACCUUUAAUUAAUAUAAAAAAAUAAACUUUAUCAACUUACAUAUUUUCUAAGACCCAUGAAAAGAUGAUAGGAUAAUAAGACAUAUAGGGGAUCAAGAACAUAGAAACCUCUAGUAUAUUUAUGAAUAUUCAUAUAUGAAAAUCGUGUAUUUACUCGUUUCGUUUGUAUCAUAUAGAUCAUGCCAAAAAGAAAGAAGGGAUAGCCUUAACAUACCUGAAUCGAUUCUCUUGACAAGUCCUCUAACACGUCUUUUGAAACAAAAUACGUAACAGCGAAUCGAAUUAGGAAAAAAAUCAUAUGAUAUUCUUAAGAAAAAAUGUACUGUAUUUCCUUAAAAUUACAAAUGCCAUUGCUAUUAUAUUAUGUGGUCUCGUAUGAAUUUCCAAGUCCCCUCCUUUUCCGUUCUUGGAAACCCUUUCUAUAACUCCUCCAAUGAAUCAUGAUAUGAAUUAAGAUGAAGUCGGAUGACUAAUAUAAACUUCACUUUCUAUAUGUUUUCCACGUGCAUAGAUGAGUUGUCACCAAAGGUUGACAAACAAAUAUUGUCCAUGUAUCAUCUAAUUUAAUUGCAUAAACUUAAGAGUCAUCAUUAGAACUUUUUCCACUUUUUACCAUGUGGGGGUGAUGUCCCCACCUAAUAAUUAUCCAUGAUUUCCUAAUUAUGUUGGUGAUGCCCCUAAUCCAAUAAUUAUUCAAUUAUCAUCACAAUCAAAUAUUAUUUCAAAUUAUUUAAAAUAAUACAUACUUUUAACAUACAUUGUACACCUUAUUAUCGUGGUCAUGUGGUACUUUAUAUACACUAGUCCAUAAAUAUCGGAUACUAUAAUUUGGACCGAAUUCUAUCCCUAAAUUGUAAACUUCGAUGAAACUCAUUUUCUUCGAUUCUCUUACCUUUUAACCUUUACGAUUUUAAUUAUCACUUGUUUGGAGUAGCAUAAUACUUGUGAUCCCAAAUAAUCUCAUUCACGAGUUUACAUCAAUUAGCUUGCGAUGAAACUUUAGCGUACGAAAAUGUAGGAUGUAACAUUUCAUUUUCGAAUUUAUAUCAAUUUACUUAUGGCAUAUUUUCAUAUAUAAAAAUAUGCGGUAUAAAGGACUUGUUUUGAACCAAAUAGAAGCAGCUGCACAUUUUUUCUUGUAUUGUUUUUGAUAUAAAAAUCAACCUAAAAUCUACUUAGAGCUUUCCAGAUCUGGAAUACUGAUUUCAAAAUUUGCACCCUUUCUUGAUAUUUUGGAGCGUGUGUGUGUAGAUGAGUGAGAGUGAAUCGGUCCCUAUUUGCAUAGUGUCUUGUUAUAUAAAAAUGCAGAAACUCAUUUUCAGUUAUUUUCUACUGACUGAGAGAUUUAAUGGUGGACACAGAAGGACUGGCAGGACUGGCUUCCUUCAGAAGACCGGGAUCAAUUGAUUCUCCAGGGAAGUUAGAAGUAGGUUCUAGUUCAAUAAAAGAAAUAUAUUUUCCUUUAUCUGUUGCAGGAACUUCUCUAAGGACUUGAGAAGUAAGGGCCUCAAUCUCAAUCUUAUCAAGACGAGACUUCAUAUCACUGACCUCUUGCUUAAGGGAAUUCAUUUUUCUACGCAAGUCAGAAACAGAGGGCUUAGGACUUAAUAUUCCUGUUUAUGCACUGUUACGUGAUGCACGUUUUCUUAAUUUUGAUGAUUCUUUAUUGGGAGCUCUUGAAAGUCAUUUAGCAGGUGGCCCUGUUUAUUUCAAUUGCUAUCCUAAUUUCUCUGUUGAUAUUAAUGAUCCUAAUGUGUUGGAUACAUUAACUCUUAAUAUUAANNNNNNNNNNNNNNNNNNNNNNNNNNNNNNNNNNNNNUAUUAAUGAUCCUAAUGUGUUAGAUACAUUAACUCUUAAUAUUAAAACUAUAAAUAUGAACAGCAAAUUCGAAACUCGUGAGUUAGCUGUUAUAUAUCGAGUCUAUUACAGGUUGACUACCCUUGCUCCUAAAGCUAGGAUAGAGAGUACCAAAGGUGUGACUAUAUUAAUGGAAGCUAACCACAUCCGUCUUCUUUUAGUUAUUACUUCUCCUACCCCUAAAACCCGACCCCUUUAACUCGUUUCUUUACCAAAAUAGUCCUUUCCCUAUCUCCUGGAACUUUCCAGGUUGUUAACAACAAAUAUUCCCUUAGUUUAAUUUCCCAAAUACCCCUUCAACUUUUUAAUCACACUCUUUGCCCCCUGUUCUUAUUACUUUUCCGUUUUAGAUUUCUUUUUAUCCAAAUCCCUAAAACUCGGGCUCAAAUCAACAAAGAAAAACAAACGAAUAAUCAAAUAGACAAGUCAAUUUUAAUGAAACAAGAGUUCAUGCCAAAUAAAGUAAUCAUGAUACGCCUAAUUGAGUUUUUAUACUCGUUUAUCAACUAAUAAAAAUAUCUGCAAUCAACACUUAAUCAACCUAAAACAUGAUUGGCACCACUAUAUUUAAUAGAACAAAUAAACACACAAAAAUGAAACAAGAAAAGAAGAAAGGAAUGAGUUAUACUCGUUUGAUAUCGAGAUGAAGCAAAGAGGUGACCUCAGAAAAAGUUAUGGCCGAUCAACGGCUGGUUGACCAAGAUCAGAAAUUCAAAAAACGGAGUGAAUCUUACACCGGUGGAUAGCUCUCAUCAACAGCUUUCUAAUGAUGUAAGUCUCAACCGUAAAAGCUGACAGAUCGAUCGAGGAAAUUAAAAAAGACCGAGUGGUAGCUAGGGUUCAGUUCUUAGAUCUAUCGAGAAUUUCAUUGAGGUUUUAGAAGAAGCUAAAUGUGGGAUGGUCGUGAGGAGAAAACAAUGAAUAUCUGGUAUUAAUUUGUGGGUAGUUAGAGGUUGGCCGUCGUAGUGGACGAAUUCCGGCGAUGGCUUGUGGCAGAUGGUGAGAGAAGGGAAAGGGCGAUGAUCUGAAAAGGGUUUUGGGGGUAGGGGUGGUCGUUUCUAACAGUUAUAAGAGGAACACAAGAUUUGUUGUUGAUCAUUGGAUCAAGUGAGAUGAAGAGUGG
rnacentral:lncRNA from 1 species